rnacentral:lncRNA from 1 species
CAGACUUGGCUGUGAGUGCUCGGGUGCUGUAGGAGGGCCUCUUAGUGACAGCCUAAUUCCUUCUGAGUUAGCACCAACCCCAAGGCUCCUAGUCAGGUGACUGUGAAGCGCCGCCACCAUGUUUUUUUCUCAAGGUGGCUGCGCUUCAGGUACGAAGUAUUUCAGUGAUGGGUGAAGUCAGGUUUCUUCUACCCAGUUCGUCCUUUUUGCUCGCACCCGUGGGAGAGCAUCCUCGACCUUGGCACAGAAGAACAAAAAUCAAAGCACCACAAGCAUAUGUCCUAUCAGCACGGUUCGUUGCUACCCCAGCAUUGCUCACGCCAGACUCCUAAGCUGUUUAACUUGAGGCCAGCAUUCCCCACUCAGCUGUGCUCGCAUGUGGAGUUGAAGUUCACUCGAGGUGCAGUGUCGAGAGAUCCCAAGGGCUUGUCCAUUGUUCCUUGAUUAAGGCUUCAGGGCGUCAACAGUCAGUUCGUCAGUAUUAUGAUGUAUCCAGCUGGUCCAGGAUCUGGUGACUCCCCAGAGGGCUUCCCUGAACAGCCAAGGCUCCAGUCACAAAUUGGAAACGGCGCAGCUCAGACACUGGAUGCUUUCUUUACAUGUCGAAAAAAUGCCCUUCUGGCGAAGAGCUCGUCCCCCCAGGUAGAGGGUAACUUUGCCAUGGCCCCUCGGGGGCCUGACCAAGAGGAGUGUGAGGGCCUGCUUCAGCAGUGGCGAGAAGAAGGGUGGAACCAGACACUCUCAACUGCAAGUGAGGGUCCUCUUGCAGAUAAGGGACUGGCUGAGAGCAGCCUGGCCCUCCUGAUGGAUAACUCUGGAGAACAGGACACUGCCUCGGAGGACAAGUGGUCCAGCAGGCAGCUGAGUGACCUUCGGGCAGCGGACAACCU